rnacentral:rRNA from 1 species
AAUCAACGCUGGCGGCGUGCCUCAGACAUGCAAGUCGAACGCGAAAGUCCCCUUCGGGGGGCAAGUAGAGUGGCGCACGGGUGAGUAACACGUAGGUAAUCUACCUUUGGAUGGGGAAUAACAAUCGGAAACGAUUGCUAAUACCGCAUAAUGCAGCGGCACCUAAAUGGUGACAGUUGUUAAAGCGGGGGAUCGAAAGACCUCGCGUCUAAAGAGGAGCCUGCGGCGGAUUAGCAGUUGGUAAGGUAAUGGCUUACCAAGGCUACGAUCCGUAACCGGCCUGAGAGGGCGGUCGGUCACACUGACACUGACAUACGGGUCAGACU